GCACCCCAGUUCAGGCGGGGCUACCCGAU
rnacentral:rRNA from 1 species